rnacentral:rRNA from 1 species
UACGUAGGGGGCAAGCGUUAUCCGGAUUUACUGGGUGUAAAGGGAGCGUAGACGGCAUAGCAAGUCUGAAGUGAAAGCCCGUGGCUCAACCGCGGAACUGCUUUGGAAACUGUUAAGCUGGAGUACUGGAGAGGCAAGCGGAAUUCCUAGUGUAGCGGUGAAAUGCGUAGAUAUACGGAGGAACACCAGUGGCGAAGGCGGAUUGCUGGACAGUAACUGACGCUGAGGCGCGAAAGCGUGGGGAGCAAACAGG